GAAGUAAAAAAUCGUAACAAGGUUUCCGUAGGUGAACCUGCGGAAGGAUCAUUAAAGAUUGACCGAAAGGUCUUAUCUCUAUAUCCCUCACCUCUGUGAACUGUGGACCUCCGGGUCUGUCUUAACAAACAUCAGUGUAAUGAACGUAUAUAUCAUUAAACAAAACAAAACUUUCAACAACGGAUCUCUUGGCUCUCGCAUCGAUGAAGAACGCAGCGAAAUGCGAUAAGUAAUGUGAAUUGCAGAAUUCAGUGAAUCAUCGAAUCUUUGAACGCACCUUGCGCCUUUUGGUAUUCCGAAAGGCAUGCCUGUUUGAGUGUCAUGAAAUCUCAAUCCCCCCGGGUUUAUGAUCUGGGUCGGACUUGGACAUGGGCGUCUGCCGGUCACACGGCUCGCCUCAAAUGACUUAGUGGAUCUCUCUGCAUCCGUGACAGACGUAAUAAGUUUCGUCUUGUCCCUUGCUAAUGAGUCUGCUCAUAACCUGCCAUCGCGCACUUUUAGACUCUGACCUCAAAUCAGGUAGGACUACCCGCUGAACUUAAGCAUAUCAAUAA
rnacentral:misc_RNA from 1 species